rnacentral:rRNA from 1 species
AUUGAACGCUGGCGGCAUGCCUAACACAUGCAAGUCGAACGGCAGCACGGCAGUAGCAAUACUGUGGGUGGCGAGUGGCGGACGGGUGAGGAAUACGUCGGAAUCUGCCCAGUCGUGGGGGAUAACUAGCCGAAAGGUUAGCUAAUACCGCAUACGACCGAGAGGUGAAAGCGGGGGACCGCAAGGCCUCGCGCGAUUGGAUGAGCCGACGUCGGAUUAGCUAGUUGGUGGGGUAAAGGCCCACCAAGGCGACGAUCCGUAGCUGGUCUGAGAGGAUGAUCAGCCACACUGGAACUGAGACACGGUCCAGACUCCUACGGGAGGCAGCAGUGGGGAAUAUUGGACAAUGGGCGCAAGCCUGAUCCAGCAAUGCCGCGUGUGU